GAACAUGUUUACACUUGUAAGCUACAUGUAUUCAGAUUAUAUAAGGUCACUUUUUCACAAGGGAAGAUAGCCUAAUAAGGACUAAGACAAGUAAAAGAAUUGGCCAGAAAAAUGUGGAUUUUCUUAUCUGUUAUUUGGUUAAACAACUGAUGGCAGGCAUCUUAAUCAGAAUACCAGGUUUAAAAGAAAAUCAGGCUCAUAGGAUAAUAAGAGGAAUUGCAUCAUAAAAGGUUGUUCUAGUUAGAGGUUUGUGUAGUAUUAAAAAUAAAUACUAGGAGAAAAAAAUUAUAGUCUAAUUUUUAUACCAGCACGUCACUUAAACUGAGCAUACUGCUGUGAUAAAGUCACUUCAUUCCACUCUGCACCUCCUCUACUCCCUCUCCUGCCUCUUUACAUGCAGCAGUGUUGCUGGUGGUGGUGCAGGGUGGAGGGUGUGCUGUAUGCGUGGAUGAGAUUGUGUUUGUGUGUCAGAGGCCACGGUGUUCAGUGAGGACGAGACGGAGGCUGUCUCUUUGAGGAUUCGGCCCGCUCGCCUUGCCUCGUCUCGCCUGCCUGGCUCUUUGAAGCUGUUCGAUGACCGCACAGGGCACAUCACUGCAGGUGGAGGGGGAGAACGGGUAGUGGCGGUGCUGCUGUUGGUGGGGUGUAGCCCAGGAGGACUGGAAGGAAAAAUGAUGGUUAGCCAGGAAGAUCCUGUGAUUUACUUAAAUUCAGGAUCGUACUGUUUUCUACCUGGCUCUAUGUCUGACGCCCUCCCUGUGUUCCUUACACCAACUCUCACAACUUCAGAAGGGGAAAGGGGGGUAGCAGCGGACUUCCCAUGAUGCCACUGGCCGUAUAAAACCCCCACCUUUCCAAUGGUACUUUCUCUACCAUCCGGACUCUGUGCGAGGCUGGCCGGUGAGACAGCGUGCUAAUGUCUCUUUGGUGGCAAACAGACAUAAACUCUUCAAACUGGAUCCGAGAGUGUCAUACGAUCAUCGAUCAUAUGCACUAAGAUAAG